UGUCUCCCCCACAGCUUUAUCGGCCUCCCCUGUUCUCUCAGCUCCCACCUCUCCCUUUCCCAUCCCCGAAUCCAGACAACCCCCCCAGCAAAACCCCCGCUUCCUCGCCCCCCUUCCCCUCAAAUCCAGGUUAUCUCUGGGUGGUGUUUACAGCCUUGGCUAGGACAGCAGGCAGCGGCUCGGAGACCCAGCUCCACGGAGACCAACGGCGUGCCUCUGCUGUCCUCUGCUGGCUGAGUGAGGCACUGCCGCUGGUGUCCCUGCAUCCGAGGCUGAGUUGAAAGACUGUCAUUGGCCAUCGAGUCCCAAGGAUGCCCUCUUCAGCAUCCCGGAAUAAUAGUCGCUCGUGUUUUUCUUGGAGACCUCUAAUGAGAUGGAAUGAGCGUCGGGGGACUCGUUCUCUUCAGCUUGACCCAAGCUCCUUGCCCCGGGCACCUGCCAGAGCCUGGGGAGAUGCUUACUGUUUGCUGAUUGAUUGAUCGAUGGCUAGAGUGCAACUGUGGAUAGCAAACCCCAUGAGACAUCAGCCUCUGGCUGCCUUUACUGCCUUCUAUCCCUAUGCAGUUGGAUAAACAGCCCGAGAUCCCUGUGCUUGCUCCGAGAGGCUGGAGGUUCUGAGCCUCCUGGCGACUGCCCCCAAGGAGCUACUGUGUCUCAUUCUCCCUGUUUCCCCUCUUUGAUUUUCCCUACACUAUUGAACUUGGAACAGAUGCUGCUUAAUUUGACAACUGUCCUGUCAAUCUGAACGCAAGAUGGAACAGCAUCUCGCUUGUCUCCUCUCCAAAGUGCUCCAGACUCUGAGACAAGAUGACUGAGAGGAGAAGGGAAGAGAAGCAGUUAUAAGAAGGCUGUUGGGGGGAGGGGAGAUGCCAGGACAGUGAGGUUCUGGAUUGGGGAGCGGGGAAGGGAAGGAGACAGUAAGAGAUCUUUGUCUUUGGU